rnacentral:rRNA from 1 species
GACGAACGCUGGCGGCGUGCUUAACACAUGCAAGUCGAACGGUGACGCGCCUUCCUUUUUGGUGGGUGUGGGUGAGUGGCGAACGGGUGAGUAACACGUGCGUAACCUGCCCCCUUCUUCUGGAUAACCGCAUGAAAGUGUGGCUAAUACGGGAUAUUCUGGGUCUGUCGCAUCAUGGGUCUGUGAAAGAUAUUGUUUCGGUGGGGGAUGGGCUCGCGGCCUAUCAGCUUGGUGGUGGGGUGAUGGCCUACCAAGGCGGUGAGGAGUAGCCGGCCGGAGAGGGUGGACGGAACUACUGGGGAUGAGCCACCGCGCAGACUACGAGGGGAAGCAGUGGGGAGGAAUAGUGAACAAGGGGAGCAAGGCUGAUGCAGCGACGCGGCGUGAGGGAUGGAGUCCUGCGGGUUGUGAACUUCUUUCGGGAGAGAAGCAGGGCUGCCUAGUUUGUGGGUGUGUUGACGGUAGCUGGAGAAGAAGCGCCGGCUAACUACGUG